UAAAAAACCCACGCAUGUAAAUUAUGACGUAGAUGAAAUUUGUAAAUUCAAAUCGUCAGACGAAAAAAAUUUUCUUUAUUUCGUUAGGACUCUCUCAAGCAGCAUCGUUUUAAAUAUAAAUUCAACUGCACGAAUUUGAGUCUUCUAGUCUUAGCCAAGCAACGUUUAACGAACCACGUAUAAUAAAAAUAAUAAAAUAAUUUUUAAAUAUCCAAGUGUCAUAAUUAUUUCAACAAAAUAAUAUCAAAUAUCAGCUGAUUAUUACUUAACUUUCUCAUUUAAAAAUAAUAAUCUAAAAUUAAAAACUAGCAUGGAUAUAAAUAAAAAAAUUCAACGUUCAAAUUAAUAUUACAAACAAGAUAAUGUCUUCACCUGUUCAUCAAGAGAUUCGAAUAACAAUUUUUUUUCAUGACGAUAUGGUUGUCAUCUACAUAUGACUCAUCGUCAAACUCUUUACUAUAUAAAAAAUAAAUUAUUUGCGUCUAUAUACCUCAGAGAAAAAAGAAAUAUUUAAUAAAAAAAAAAAAUUACAAUUCUGGGCAUUGAACCUUGCGUGAUCGUGUUCAUGUAUAUAAAAACA